UUUUGAAACUCAGUCUAAAGACAUUCAGCUUGUCUAAUGAGCAGGAGGUUUUUGUAUGAGCAGUAAUAGGGAUUGUAUCACUGUGGUACACUUUUGGUGGCGGCACCAGACUUGAUGUUGGAAGUAACACUGCUCCCACCCUGACCAUCCUGCCCCCCUCUAGUGAGGAGCUGUCCAGUACAACAACAGCCACACUGAUGUGUCUGGCCAACAAGGGCUUCCCCUCAGACUGGACCUUGAGUUGGAUAGUGGACGGGAACAACAAGAAUCAGAAGUCCAGUUCCAAGGUCCUGGAGAAGGAUGGUCUGUACAGCUGGAGCAGCACCCUGACUCUCACUGCCCAGGAGUGGAACAAGGUGGGAGAGGUGACCUGUGAAGCCCAGAAGAGCUCCCAGACUCCAGUCACCAAGACCCUGAGGAGGGAUGACUGUUCUGGUUAGGACCUGUCUGUCACA